rnacentral:ncRNA from 1 species
CAUAUAGCAGAAUAAUGAUGCUAGUAUGCUUUAGUCAGAAGUCAGCAGAGGACAUAGUACCCUGUUUCUCUAUUUUCUACAGGGGAAGGUC